ACUCAGGCAAACGUCAUCGAACUGCGCAAGCAUACGACCUGUGUAAGCCUUUUCAGGGUGUCUCUUUUCUACAAAUGAUUGCACUUUAUGAAAAGCAGCUAGAGCAUCCUUAAUUUCUGCCGUUGUCAUAGGGUCCUCCUCCUCCUCGCCGCUGCUAGAGAACUCUUCUUGAACAACGUUAUGUUGCAUGGCCUCCAACUCCUUCAGGUCAUCCGUCGUAAGCUCCUCUUGGUGCUCCUUGAGAAGGUCAUUGAUGUCGUCCUCGUCGACGACCAGCCCCAUGGACUUGCCGAGUGCAACGAUCUCGUCAAGAUCUGGUUGCGAAACAGUUUCAGGAUCGUCAACUGUUUCUGAAUCUGCAUCAGCUUCGCCCACGUCGAAUCCCUUGAAGUCGGGUGGAUACGGCAUCAGGCCAGAGUUUUCUCCACGAAGAAUUCAAGGUUCACCUCGAAACCACCUGCCAAGCUUGAUCGAUGAGUCGGAUGCAUAUGACGAUAUCGAAAUGCUCCUUCCAAAAUUCACGCAAGGUGAGGUUUGUGGUAUUGGUGAUGUCAAAACAUCUCUUGAAAAAGUGUUUCGUAUACAGCUUCUUGAAGUUCGAUAUCACUUGCUGGUCCAUAGGCUGGAGGAGAGGGGUGGUGUUAGGCGGAAGAUAAAGAACCUUGAUGAAAGAAUACUCCGCUAGGAUAUCUUCCUCGAGGCCAGGAGGGUGAGCAGGGGCAUAGUCCAACAACAGCAGACAUUUCCGAGGGAGGCGCUUCUCUUCCGAGAAUUUCUUCACUGUUGGGCCGAAACAGAUUUACCCACUCGGUGAACAAAAGUCUCGUUACCCAGGCUUUCGCAUUAGCCCUCCACAUCACUGGAAGCUUCUCCUUUAGCACUUUGUGGGCCUCAAAGGCUCAAGGAGUCUCGGAAUGAUAGACAAGCAGGGGCUUGACUUUACAAUCCCCACUGGCCUUAGAACAUAGUGCGAGUGUAAGCCUGUCUUUCAUAGGCUUAUGCCCGGGUAGCUUCUUCUCUUCCUCCAUGAUGUACAUCUGACGAGGCUUUUGUUUUUCCAAAAAAGGCCAGUCUCGUCACAGUUGAAGACUUGCUGAGAACUGUAGCCUUCCUUGAUCGUCAUCUUGAACAUCUUAAUAAAGGCUUCGACCGCUUUCGUGUCUGAACUGGCAGCCUCCCCAUGCCGCACAAUCGAAUGGAUGCCAGUCCGUUUACAGAAUUUAUCAAACCACCCACGAGAAGCCUUGAAGUCUGGGGUUGGCGUCGAUGUCCCUUCUCUGUCAUCUUCGGCCUGGGCAGUCGGAUCACCGAAAAUAGUGCUGGCGUUGUGGCAGAUUGCCGUCUCGGUUAUCGUAUUGCCAUUGACUUCUUUGUCUUUUAUCCAUACAAGAAGCAGAUUCUCCAUCUCAUCAUGCACGUGGCUGCUCACGCCCUUGGAAGGUGUAGCUGCUUUGAUGGCUUCCUUCUGCUUAAGGAUGGUGCCUAUCGUCGACGGAUUUCGGCCGUAUUCCUUAGCGAUCACACUCAUCCGCAUGCCAGCUUCAUACUUUUUAAUGAUCUCCAUCUUUGUCUCCAUAGAAAACAUCCUCUUCUUUCCGUGAACUUCAGCAACUUUCUUGGGACCCAUGACUAUAAUUAAGUUAAUUAAGUUCACACACAACACAAUAAAGUAGAAAGUGAAAUCACUAACACGAAUUUAUGUUAACAAACGAAAUACGUAUAUGUGAACAAACUAAUUCUGUGUCCGUACGAUAAUGCUGGUGCGACGAAGUGGCCGAAGGACGCCUUUACGUAGAGGCAUGAUGGGAUAGAUGCUGACCAAUAGGAGAGCAGGAUCUUAAGGCGGUGACUAGCAUCAGGAACCAAUGGGAGAGGGAGAGGAUGGUGGCUAGUCUUCAGAGUUAGAGGCGCACGAGUUUUAAAAUUGUUCUUGGUGGUCUGGGCGAAUCUCAGGACUUAACAGUAACACCCUUUGUAACCUGAAUUAUUUUCGUAUGGAGAAGCAAAAAAAUCUUCGUCUUUGCUUUCGUAACUUGGAUUUUUCGUAAGUAGGGACUUUCGUAUGUCGAGGUUCCACUGUAUUUGGUUGUGAUUUUUUAUUUCAAUAAGUGUCAGACUGGAUCAAGUUUGUUGAUGAGCAUGUGCAAUUUUGAAUAGAAGGUAAGAGAAAAAUUGUAAUUUUCCUUAGAAAAACAAAAGCCAGUAUUUUUCAUGGGAAUGUAAAAUUAAAGUGUAAAUUACUGUAUAUCGUGGUGAAGUUGAAAAAGAGAAACUGUUGUCCCAUUUUUUCUGUAUUACAUUUACAGGCUAUUUUCUUUCACUUACAAUUUUCAGCUUUUAUCCAAUUAAAUUAAAAAUUUGGGAGAAAAAUAGCUUCAGUUCAAGAUUCUUGAAGGUUUGCAUGCCAUGAUAAUUGGAAUUACUUCUGUAUGACAUUGUAACCACUUCCAGAUGAACUUUCCUAACUUUUCUGAAAGUUACAAUGAAGCAAAUAAAUUUCAGAACUUCAUAUGGAAAUUUUGGUAACUAAAGUACUGGACUUCAUUCUGUCUUGAUUGUGAAUCGGGUUAAAUUUCUCCUUCUUUAGGUUCAAUUUUUUUUUUAACACUCUCCUACUGGUUAUUGAUGGGAGCCUUAAUUAAUCCUGAGGAGAAAGCGGUUCAUUUUCAUGUUGAUGUUGAGGCUAAAUAUGCUUAUUUGCUCCAUAUGACACUCGAGGCUAAAUAUGCUUUUUUGCUCCAGGGACAUUUAAAAUCUGGUAGUGCCUCAGUGGCGUGGUUGGUGUGGUGUUUGCUUCUCACCUUGGUGGUCGCGGGUUCGAUUCCCGGCCAUUCCAUUGAGGAGUGAGAGAUGUGUAUUUCUGGUGAUAGAAGUUCACUCUCGACGUGGUUCGGAAGUCACAUAAAGCCGUUGGUCCCGUUGCUGAAUAACCACUGGCUCCAUGCAACGUAAAAACUCCAUACAAACAAACAAACAAAAUCUGGUAACCUAGUGAAUUGACUUUCAGAAAACCCACAGGUUUUUCUUGCUGUAAUUCUGUGUUCCAUAGGGUAGUAAGAAUUCAAGUUGUAGUCAUUGCUCCCAAAGUUUGUGCAGAAAAGGUGAUCUUCAAGCCAGUAUGUUUACCUUGGAGGCAGGCCCUGGUAGUCAAUAUGUUUACUGAAAGCAAGCAACUAGGUAUUUACCAUGCAUUUGUAGUCAAGACAACUUGGAAAGUGAGAAAUAUAAUUUACUCAAUUUUGAAAUAAAUUUUGAAAUUGAUUUAUAUUAAAACUUCUUUAAUUUAGUAUUCUAUAUAGCAACAUCUUUGUGAUUUUUGAAUGACUAGUGGAAGAGCCAUUGUUGGAUGUGUUUUAUUAAAUCUUGACCUAUCAUGUCACUUGUUUGACAGGGUUAUGUUUGUAGAGUAUUCUUUUUUUUAUAUCCUUUACUAAUGACAUUCCUGUUUGGCAUCGAAGAUAAGGCAGUCAAUAAAUAUUUAUGCAGCUGGAUUAAAUAUGAACUGAAUUAUUUAUUUUAAAAAUCCAGCAGCAAAUUGUUUCUGUGAUCGUUUCACAACUUUGUGGUCAUCACUGUUCACCUUGGUUUUUGUGUCAUAAUAUGCUUAUCUCAGAGUUGUUUGGCAUUCUGCAUUUUAUUUACCAAAACAUAGUAGGAGCUCUGGAACAAGUAUAGAAUUUUACUGUAAUAGCUUUUAGAAAUGAAAUGGGGAAUUGCCUUUGAAGUGCACUGUAAUAAUGUAAGAAAUUAUGGAGACUUGUCUAAAAUUACAGGCCUUUUCAGCUUUGGUAUGGUGGAGUCGUGUAUGUAGACCCUUCAGUCUAUGAGGAGGAGUAUGAAUGCAGUGAGAACUAUACUUUAGAAACAGAAGGGGGUCAUCUUACCAUAGGAAUGAUGCCUAAUUAUGCUAAUGGACAAGUUAGCCUUAUGCUUCAGGAAGGACAAAUAUCUGUAGACAACCUAUGUGAGGGACUCGAUUUGGCUGUUGAAAUGUGCCAGAGAAUAUACACACUUUCUAAAAAGACUUUAGAGGACUACAUAGAUCAAGCUCUUCGAGAUGAAGCUGCUGUUACUGUUGAAUGAUGAUCUUGCUCUUCAAUUGGUGUCCUCAGAGCUCUUAAUCCAUCACAUUUUGUUGUCCCUGGAGUUGCGCAUAUACUUUUGCUUGUUAGAACAGUGUCAUUUGUUUUGUUCCAUUUAGUUUUUAUAUUGCCUUUGUUAUUCUUGAAUAAUAGGGUUAUCUUUUGAGUACCUAGAGGUAUUUUGAUGUGAAAUUUUCUUGACAGCAUCCCAUAAGAGACUGAAAAGGAACAACUAAGCUUGAAUCUGGAAUGGAAAAGCUAAGCAUGAAAAACCUUUUGUAACAGUAUUAUGAAAGGUCUCAGUACAAAGUUGAAUGCGAAUUUUUAUCAUAAAAAGUUUGUAUAUAGUAAUACAAUAUUAUAUGAAACAACAUGA